AAACUUUACAAUGCGGGAAACCGUGAUAAGGGGACACCGAGUGCUAGCAUCAUAUGCUGGCUGUCCAGGUGUACACCUGUAGCAAGGGCCGGCAAGACCGGUGCCAGCCGCCGCGGUAACACCGGCGGCCCGAGUGGUGAUCGUGAUUAUUGGGUCUAAAGGGUCCGUAGCCGGUUUGGUCAGUCCUCCGGGAAAUCUAAUAGCUCAACUAUUAGGCUUCGGGGGAUACUGCCAGACUUGGAACCGGGAGAGGUAAGAGGUACUACAGGGGUAGGAGUGAAAUCCUGUAAUCCUCCGGGGACCACCGGUGGCGAAGGCGUCCUACCAGAACAGUCCGACGGUGAGGGACGAAAGCUGGGGGCACAAACCGGAUUAGAUACCCGGGUAGUCCUAGCCGUAAACGAUGCCCGCUAGGUGUCACGUGGUGCCGUAGGG
rnacentral:rRNA from 1 species